GAUGAACGCUGGCGGCGUGCUUAACAUAUGCAAGUCGAACGAAGCUGCUUAAAGGAAGUCUUCGGAUGGAAUUUAGGUAGACUUAGUGGCGGACGGGUGAGUACCGCGUGGAUAACCCGCCUUAUACAGGGGGAUAACGGAGAGAAAUUUCCGCUAACACCGCAUAAGACCACAGCACCGCAUGGUGCAGGGGUAAAAUAUUUAUAGGUAUAAGAUGGAUCCGCGUCCGAUUAGCUAGUUGGUGAGGUAAAGGCCCACCAAGGCGACGAUCGGUAGCCGGCCUGAGAGGGUGAACGGCCACAUUGGGACUGAGACACGGCCCAAACUCCUACGGGAGGUUUUUAGUGGGGAAUAUUGGACAAUGGGGGAAACCCUGAUCCAGCGACGCCGCGUGAGUGAAGAAGUAUUUCGGUAUGUAAAGCUCUAUCAGCAGGGAAGAAAAUGACGGUACCUGACUAAGAAGCCCCGGCUAACUACGUGCCAGCGGCCGCGGUAAUACGUAAGGGGCAAGCGUUAUCCGGAUUUCCUUGGGUGUAAAGGGAGCGCAUACGGCAAUGCAAGCCUGAAGUGAAGGGUGUGGGGCUCAACUUAUGAACU
rnacentral:rRNA from 1 species